ensembl:lncRNA
UGGGGGCCCGGGCAGCCUGAUAACAGCGUAAACUGUGCCACAAUAGUCGGAUCAACGGGCUCCUUCCACAGUCAUAACUGUGGUGGCCAACGCCCCUUCCUCUGCUCCAGAGAUGUCAAACCUUCAGCCUCGAGGUCAGUGAAGGUUCAGCUGAGGGCAGGAUCUGCAGACCUGAACGACCCCACAGUGCAAGAAUCCAUCCUGCAGCAGGUGAGGGAGAAGCUGGUGGAGCAAGGGAUCAGAGAGGAGGUGAAGCUGAGGUGGAGGACGCAGCCUGAUGGGAAGAUUUUCCACAGAGAGGAGGAGACAGCCGGUGACAGUGAGGAGGAAGACUGUGGGUCGGUUUAGUCUGAACGUUAUUGGCUGAUGUUCCUCAGAUGAUCUGCUGUGUAAUUCAACUUAUUUCCGUCUCUGUACUCUGACUGCUGGACUGUAGCAGCGUAGCUUUGCAUGACUGACAGUUGGAAAUAAUCCUUCUUUAUCCUAAGCUCAGAUCACAGAGUGUCUGAUGAGCUGUUUUAUGCCUCUUUGUUUCUUCUGAUUGGUGAAGCUAAAGUUUGCAGGUGAGCAGGUGAGCGGACCUUCUGUGUCUAAAUGUUCAUGAUAUCCUGUCUCUACAUAUGAAAGUUCAAGCGGAGAACAAAGUGAACCUGAGUGUUCAGAGCAGUCUGAUGUCUGAGCUUUUUG